rnacentral:rRNA from 1 species
CCUGGCUCAGGACGAACGAUGGCGGCGUGCCUAAUACAUGCAAGUCGAACGGCAGCGGGGUAGUGCUUGCACUUGGUCAAGGUGAGUGGCGAACGGGUGAGUAACACGUGGGUAACCUACCUCAUAGUGGGGGAUAACAGUCGGAAACGACUGCUAAUACCGCAUAGGACAUGGGAUCACAUGAUUCUGUGAGGAAAGGUGGCGCAAGCUAUCGCUAAGAGAUGGACCCGCGGUGCAUUAGCUAGUUGGUAGGGUAACGGCCUACCAAGGCAAUGAUGCAUAGCCGACCUGAGAGGGUGAUCGGCCACAUUGGGACUGAGACACGGCCCAAACUCCUACGG